GACGAACGCUGGUGGCGUGCUUAACACAUGCAAGUCGAACGGAAAGGCCCUGCUUGCAGGGUACUCGAGUGGCGAACGGGUGAGUAACACGUGGGUGAUCUGCCCUGCACUUCGGGAUAAGCCUGGGAAACUGGGUCUAAUACCGGAUAGGAGCCAUUUUUAGUGUGAUGGUUGGAAAGUUUUUUCGGUGUAGGAUGAGCUCGCGGCCUAUCAGCUUGUUGGUGGGGUAAUGGCCUACCAAGGCGGCGACGGGUAGCCGGCCUGAGAGGGUGGACGGCCACAUUGGGACUGAGAUACGGCCCAGACUCCUACGGGAGGCAGCAGUGGGGAAUAUUGCACAAUGGGCGCAAGCCUGAUGCAGCGACGCCGCGUGGGGGAUGACGGCCUUCGGGUUGUAAACUCCUUUCGCUAGGGACGAAGCUUUUGUGACGGUACCUAGAGAAGAAGCACCGGCUAACUACGUG
rnacentral:rRNA from 1 species